rnacentral:rRNA from 1 species
CACCAGACUCCUACGGGAGGCAGCAGUGGGGAAUAUUGCACAAUGGGGGGAACCCUGAUGCAGCGACGCCGCGUGAGUGAAGAAGUAUUUCGGUAUGUAAAGCUCUAUCAGCAGGGAAGAAAAUGACGGUACCUGACUAAGAAGCCCCGGCUAACUACGUGCCAGCAGCCGCGGUAAUACGUAGGGGGCAAGCGUUAUCCGGAUUUACUGGGUGUAAAGGGAGCGUAGGCGGCUGUGUAAGCCAGAAGUGAAAGCCCGGGGCUCAACUCCGGGACUGCUUUUGGAACUACAUGGCUUGAUUGCAGGAGAGGCAAGUGGAAUUCCUAGUGUAGCGGUGAAAUGCGUAGAUAUUAGGAGGAACACCAGUGGCGAAGGCGGCUUGCUGGACUGUAAAUGACGCUGAGGCUCGAAAGCGUGGGGAGCAAACAGGAUUAGAUACCCUGGUACC